UACAGAGGCCAAGAGCGAUGUUCGGAUUUACUGGGCGUAAAGGGCGCGUAGGCGGUAUGGCGUGUCAAGUGUGAAAUCUCCGGGCCCAACCCGGAAAGUGCGCUUGAAACUACCAUACUUCGAGUGCGGGAGAGGGAAUCGGAAUACAGGGUGUAGCGGUGAAAUGCGUUGAUAUCCUAUAGAAUACCGGAGGCGAAGGCGGAUUCCUUGAACGCAACUGACGCUGAGGCGCGAAAGUCGGGGGAGCAAA
rnacentral:rRNA from 1 species